ensembl:lncRNA
GUCGUGUGGCAGCAGGGACAGUCCCCAGUCCCUCCGGCAGGGAUGCCUCUCCUCCAGCAGGCCCAGGAAUGUGGCCGUGGCGGCUGUGGCAAUCCCCUGAAAAGACGGAUUGGUUUCCCUGGGAAUUACUCUCUCUUCUUAAGCCAAAAAAUUUGAGGGUCCGUCCAUAAAACAGGCUGUGCUUUGUCCCUCGCACCCGCAAUUGGAGAGCAGUUCAGGGCUCUGCUUUCACCUGCCCUCGCUCUGCUUCACCUGGCUUGGCUGCACAGUGGCUUUGGGUUGCAGCCGGUGAUGGCAGGAAAAAACCCGAACCCAAACCCAAAGAAACUCGUACACAUUUCCUGCCCGCUAUGAAGACAUGUCAGGCUCCCCCAAACCUCUCCCCAGCCACAAGUCACGCUAAACGUGCUCCUGGGCACAGCGAGGUAUGUAUAUUUUUCUAUUUGUCAUCUUCACGCAUGGUUGUAGGCUUGGUGAUUUUUUUUUUU